rnacentral:rRNA from 1 species
AUGCAUGGUCUGGAAUUGCUUAAGAAUGGUGUCAUUUGGCGGGUGGGAGAUGUAUCUAGCAUUAAUAUUUGGAGGGAUAAUUGGUUACCCAGGAACACUGGACUUAAAAUUUCAGCUAAAAGGCACAAUACUAGAUUGAACUGGGUCUGUGAUUUGUUCUUGAGUGGGAGAAAGGCAUGGGAUGAAAAUUUGAUCAAGUAUCUUUUCUAUCCCCAUGAUGCAGAGGAGGUUCUUAAGAUUCGUAUUCAUGCCUAUGGGGAUGGGGAUUUUAUUGCAUGGCACUAUGAGAAUAACGGUAUA